AAGCGGAAGCCGAAAAGCUUAAACAGAGUAGGCA
rnacentral:ncRNA from 1 species